GAUGAAGAACGUAGCUAAAUGCGAUAAGUAGUGUGAAUUGCAGAAUUCAGCGAAUCAUCGAAUCUUUGAACGCACAUUGCGCCCUUCGGUUAUUCCUUAGGGCAUGCCUGUUCGAGCGUCAUUUCAACCUUCAAGCCUGGCUUGGUGUUGGGCGCUGUCCCGCCUCCGCGCGCGGACUCGCCCCAAAUGAAUUGGCAGUCGCACCCUCCGAGCCGCGAGCGCAGCACAAGUCGCGCGGGCGGAACUCUGGGGGGACGGACGCUCCACAAGACCCUUUCUCAGUCUUGACCUCGGAUCAGGUAGGGAUACCCGCUGAACUUAAGCAUAUCAAUAAGCGGAGGA
rnacentral:misc_RNA from 1 species